rnacentral:tmRNA from 1 species
GGGGCUGAUUCUGGAUUCGACGGGAUUUGCGAAACCCAAGGUGCAUGCCGACGGGCGGUUGGCCUCGUAAAAAGCCGCAAAAAAAUAGUCGCAAACGACGAAACCUACGCUUUAGCAGCUUAAUAACCUGCUUAGAGCCCUCUCUCCCUAGCCUCCGCUCUUAGGACGGGGAUCAAGAGAGGUCAAACCCAAAAGAGAUCGCGCGGAUGCCCUGCCUGGGGUUGAAGCGUUAAAACGAAUCAGGCUAGUCUGGUAGUGGCGUGUCCGUCCGCAGGUGCCAGGCGAAUGUAAAGACUGACUAAGCAUGUAGUACCGAGGAUGUAGGAAUUUCGGACGCGGGUUCAACUCCCGCCAGCUCCACCA